rnacentral:rRNA from 1 species
GACGAACGCUGGCGGCGUGCUUAACACAUGCAAGUCGAGCGGUAAGGCCCUUUCGGGGGUACACGAGCGGCGAACGGGUGAGUGACACGUGGGUGACCUGCCCUUAGCUCUGGGAUAAGCCUGGGAAACUGGGUCUAAUACCGGAUAUGACUCCAUAACGCAUGUUGUGGGGUGGAAAGCCUUGUGCGGCUAGGGAUGGGCCCGCGGCCUAUCAGCUUGUUGGUGGGGUGAGGCCUACCAAGGCGACGACGGGUAGCCGGCCUGAGAGGGCGACCGGCCACACUGGGACUGAGACACGGCCCAGACUCCUACGGGAGGCAGCAGUGGGGAAUCUUGCGCAAUGGGCGAAAGCCUGACGCAGCGACGCCGCGUGGGGA